CUAAGCCAAGUUUCAGUUCAUGUAAACAUCCUACACUCAGCUGUCAUACAUGCAUUGGCUGGGAUGUGGAUGUUUACGUCAGCUGUCUUGGAGUAU
rnacentral:miRNA from 1 species